rnacentral:rRNA from 1 species
UCCAACAGCCAUAUCACACUGCAACUCACAACUGGCAACCCACUAAAGCUAAGUAGAGCCUGGCCAGUACCUGGAUGGGAGGCCUCCUGAGAAAAACUAAGGUUGCUGCUGGAA